rnacentral:rRNA from 1 species
AGCGAACUCUGGCGGCGUGCCUAACACAUGCAAGUCGAACGUGAAAUGGGGCAACCCAAAGUAAAGUGGCGUACGGGUGAGUAACGCGUAGGUAAUCUACCGAAGAGUCUGGAAUAACCGGCCGAAAGGCUGGCUAAUACUGGAUAGAGCGACGGGACUCGUAAUGAGUCUUUCGGGAAAGGGAGGCAGCAAUGUCCCUUGCUCUUCGAUGAGCCUGCGUCUCAUUAGCUAGUUGGUGGGGUAACGGCCUACCAAGGCAUUGAUGAGUAGCUGGUCUGAGAGGAUGAUCAGCCACACUGGAACUGAAACACGGUCCAGACUCCUACGGGUGGCUG